rnacentral:rRNA from 1 species
CCUACGGGCGGCAGCAGUGGGGAAUAUUGCGCAAUGGGCGAAAGCCUGACGCAGCGACGCCGCGUGAGGGAUGAAGGUCUUCGGAUCGUAAACCUCUGUCAGCAGGGAAGAACGGUCACUGUGCUAAUCAGCAGUGAAUUGACGGUACCUGCAAAGGAAGCACCGGCUAACUCCGUGCCAGCAGCCGCGGUAAUACGGAGGGUGCGAGCGUUAAUCGGAAUUACUGGGCGUAAAGCGCUCGUAGGCGGUAUGUCAAGUCAAGGGUGAAAUCCCCGCGCUCAACGUGGGAACUGCCUUUGAAACUGGCAGGCUGGAGUGUGGGAGAGGAGGGUAGAAUUCCAGGUGUAGGAGUGAAAUGCGUAGAGAUCUGGAGGAACAUCGGUGGCGAAGGCGACCAGCUGGACGAUGACUGACGCUGAGGAGCGAAAGCGUGGGUAGCAAACAGGAUUAGAUACCCCGGUAGUC